AUGUGCUUCCAGGUGAUUAUCAGCAUAAUUGGUCUUCUUUUAUUUGGGAAAUUGUUGGAGCCUUUAUGGGGAACAAAGGAGUUAUCAAAGUUCGUUUUUAUUGUCAACUUCUCAACUUCAAUGUAUGUCUUCGUAACUGCUAUUGCUGUGUACUACUAUGUAACACAAAAAGAGAGCUACCUGUACACUCCUCUUUCUGGUUUUUAUGGGGUUCUGUCAGGAUUGCUAGUGGGCAUCAAGCAACUUAUGCCAGAGAUGGAGCUUAAUCUUUUCGUGCUGAAGAUUAAGGGAAAGUGGAUCGCAUCUCUUACUGCACUGAUUUCCGUUGUUGUAAGCUUCUUCAUGAAGGACUUGGUAUCUUACCUCCCAGCUAUACUGUUUGGCAUUUAUAUGAGUUGGAUAUACCUGUGUUACUUCCAAAAGAGGCUAGAGACAGACCUGAAGGGGGAUCCAAGCGAGGAGUUCUCUUUCUCAAGUUUCUUCCCUACAAUUUUGAGACCAGUUCAGGAUCCAAUAGCCUCAAUAUUCCAUAGGCUUCUUUGUGGAAGAUGCCAGCAAAGAGUCUGCUGGAUGUUCUCAAAUUGGAUCAUAUAUGUUUGA
rnacentral:rRNA from 1 species